rnacentral:tRNA from 1 species
GGGAUGGCUCAGAGGUUAAGAGCACUGGGUUCUCUUCCAGAGAACCUAGGUUCAAUUCCCAGCACCCA